rnacentral:lncRNA from 1 species
UCCUUUCUAAUAAUUUAUUUCAGGUCAAAUCUACAUCUUUCUUUUCUCAUCACACCAGCUCUAUAAAACAGUUCUUAUUGUUCAUUUAUGUCCAUUUUUAAAAUCACAGCAUCCACAAUUGUAUGGCGGACUAAUAUUUUUUUUUAAUUACGUCAUCUGAGUUCCUCAUCUCAAGGUCUAUUAGGGAUCCUGACCCAGAUACGUUAACACGGAAU